UUCCGCUUCCGCCCCAGGACCCGCCCCACCGCGGGGUCGGGGGCGGAGCCUCGGCGGCCCCGCCCCAGCGGCCCUGGCGGAGCGGGGCGAGGCGCGCAGGCGCCAAGGGCGCGACGCCGAGGGCCGUUGCCCCGCAACCGGCGGACGGGCGGAUGCCCGGGCGCUGGCGAGGCAGGAGCCCUGCAGGCCCUGCCCCGCACAAGCCGUGCUGCAGGUGGGGUGGCGGCCUGACGCCCGCGUGCCCGUGUGCGGAGGCCGCAGGAGCCCGCACGGAGCACCCGCCGGGGUCCGGGGACGGGAUCCCUGCGCGCCUCCCGGACGCCGGCGUCGGUUACCUGAGCCAGCCCGCAGCCGAACGCACCCGCGAGAAGAGGAGUGAGGACGGAUGACCUGAGCCCAGGCAGCCCGCCCCGACCGCGGGCUCCGCGCCCUCCCCAGCCCGCCGCGUGGCCUCUGGUUCUGGGGAGCGUGGCUGCGGACACACAGUGCAUGCUAGGAGAUAAGACGUGUGGUAAGGUUGGCAGUGCGUGUCCCGCCACAAUGCACUAUUCUUCUUUUAUAUUUUAACUUUUUAAAAAUUCGAGAGGAAUACGCAGGGCUUCACCCACUGGCCACUGCCCAGAGCCGGCCCACAGCUGAGGUGGGGCCAGGCCAGGCCUAGGAGGAGGCCAGCCGGGCGCCCGUGUGGGUGGCCAGGACCCGACCGCUGGAGCCAUGUUGCUCCAAGCUGCACGUGAGCAGGAGACGGAGCUGGGACUCAAACUCGCAUCUCAACCGCGCGACGACGACCACCGCGCCUCCGAAAUCCUCAGGUGACAGAAAUGGGCUGUGUGGUGUUACCGGAAGCGCAGUCUGAGGAGUCGGGCCUGAUGAGGCCGCCACCUGAGAGCUGCGGGGAGCCAGUGCCUCUCGUGGGUAAACCAUCCUGGCUGUGUGGCAGCCUGAGUGGACUGGGACCGGGGUGUACUAAGCCUGAGGCCCAGAGGGUCUGAGAGGCAGGAUUGAGGAGGUAGGAAACCCGGGCUGUGAGGGGCGACCCACACUGGAGUGUGCACAGCGGUGGAGGCCGGCAGCCCAGAGCCCCUUCACCGCCCCGCGAGGCACCAGCUGGCAGUCCUCACAGGCUGCACGGAACUUCCAACAGCACAUUUGCCUCGCUCCUGAAUAUAUGCGGAUAAUCAAGAGCAAAAGACAUUUGUGGAGAACAGCCAAAAAGGAAAAAAAAUAAAGAUACUAGGAGGAAAAAUGUUAUUAAAAAACUAUCUGUAGUCCCUGAAUAUAAUAUACCCAUGAAAGAAAAAGACACAUACAGGACAGUCAGAGUAACAGUGAGCUCUUCCAAAUUCGAAAAGCAGGGGGUAGCGUCAUGACCCAGCAGGUAAAGCCACUGUUUGGGAUGCCCACAUCCCAUAUCAGAGUGCUGGUUUGAGUCCCAGCUAUUACACUUCCUAUCUAGUUCCCUGCUAUUGUGUCUGGGGAGGCAGCAGACGAUGGUCCAAGUACUUGGGCCCCCGCUGUCCUCAUGGAAGAUGUGGACAGAGUCCCUGGCUCUGGCCCAGCCUUAGCUGUUUGCAGCCAUUUGAGGAGUAAACCAGACGAUGGAAGACACCUCCCUCUAUCUCUUUUACUUUACCCCCGCCAACUGCUGCCACCUUUCAAAUGUAUCUUUUAAAAAAAUAAACAGAGUUCAGGAAAACUCCCCAGAUCAUGGUGUUCUCACUCUGAAAAGGGGAACAGCUGUGGCAGCACAGCAGCACUGAAGAGACCCACGCAGGCCAAGGCAGCGUCACAAGAUUCAGAACACCAGGAGCAAAGCAGCGUCCGUUUAAGGGGUCAGAUAGGAUGGCAUGGAGUUUACCACAGAGCUCCAAGAAGCUGAAAUUCACUGGAUCAUGACCUUCAAAACUGGAGAAUCAAAGAAAGAGCAUGGCUGUUGGUCAAAACACCAGCUGUUUGAAGUACCUAGUUCUGAUCCUGAGGAGAGAAAAUACAGAUUAUGGAAGACAUUAUCACUGGAGAUAUUUCACAGCAAAUGGACAAAGGAACACUGGACAACUUUAGAUAGGCAAGAAAUUCCUUGAACCCAGAAGAGAAAACCUGCCUAGUUCUGUAUUUAUUAAAGAAACUGAAUUUCUAGA